GCUGGGGCUCAGUGGUAGAGCUCUUGCCUUGCAUGUGCAAGACCCUGGGUUUGAUCCUCAGCACUGCA
rnacentral:tRNA from 1 species